UAUUUUAACCUCCUCAAGUUCUGACACCUAGUAAAUUACAGACCUCCUCACUCAUAAUAUGAGCCCUUUCAAGGGUUUCUAAACAACUCUAUACUUUGCAUCUCUUCUUGCAAAAAUGAACUAUGAAAUGCUAUUCUAUAUAUCUAAAGCACUCAGCUGGUGAAGCAGACUGGCCUCUCAAUGCUCAUGUGGACACCUGAAGCCAGCCCUGGACAUCAACAUUUGUUGACCUUACCGCUUCAUUUUGAACCUGGGUGCCUCCAGCAGGUGGAUUCUGAAGACGGAAACAGUCACCUCCCCCUCCCCUUUCCUUAUCCGUGACUUUACCAUAAUUCUUCCCCAAUCAUCUCUCUUAGCCUCAAUCGUAAGAGUGGAGGGAAAUUAUAAGCAUCUUAUGAACUCUUUAGACAAAUAUUCAUUUAGGACCUACUAUGUCUCAAGCAUUUUGCUAGUCACAAGGUGCAGUAGUAAGCCAGAUAUAGGUGCUUUUCCUCCUCAGAGAGCCUGCAGACCACUGGAAAAUCACAACUGCUCAUAUGAACGGAGGGCUUACCCCUGUGGGACGAUGUGCUCUUAUGUACACUAUCGUAUUUAAAUCUCAGAGAAGUAGCUAUUAUUAAUAUCUCCACUUUACAGAUGAGGAAACUGAGGGUUGCCCAAAGUCACACAAUUGAAAUUGGGCAGAACUGAGACACGAACGUAGGUCUCUCUGAUGCCACACACUCAACCACACAGACAUCCUCUCUCUCACAGCUACCAUGCGGUAGGACCUGGGGUUCUAUUCACGGCUGGAGGGUAGCAGCUCUUCUACAAUUCUGCUGCAGUUUCGGCUGAAUGCUUUGAUUUGCAAAUAUGAAGGAGUCGCCGCUGAAGCACAACCUUAAACAAAUUGUGGUAGACAGCUGGGAGAGGACAGCUGCAGAAAGAAAAAUGUGGCCGGAUGCUCAGGGGGAGGACAGGAUGGGUGUACAUGAGGCAGCUCUACGUGGUGACAGGCCAACAUAAGAGGGACUGCAGACAGAUCACCUAGACCCCAGACCAAAUGGAAGGAGACCUUAGAUAUUCCGGAAUACACUGUCUUUAUUAGGUUAGCAAGUACAACCAGGCUAUAAGGACAUUUUUUUCUUUGCUCACGUCAUUCAAGUGAUUAUUCAAAUACAUUUAAAAACCUGUUGUUGCUUGUCGCCCUGAUGUAAUGACACAGAAAGACUGCAGGACCAAGAAUCAGGAGACCUAAAUUCUUAUCCAGAUAGGCACAACUAAUUCGCUUGUGUGAUCUUUUGCUUGUCCGUUGGCUUCUCUCAUUCCGGGUUGACUCCUUUCUAAAACAAGGAAAUUGGGCUACUUAGCCUUACUGAUUUUUGAAGUUUCAAACUGCUGUAAUGCUAUGAUUUAUGGAGCACCUCCACUGUGCCAGUCCCACAUUAAACAUUUUGAGGUUUUAAAGCAAUGAGAAGUCAUGUUUCCAGCCCUCUGAACCUGUGCUGUCCAAUACAGUAGCCACCAACCACAUGUGGCUAUGGAGCACUUGAAACGUGGCUGGUGUGACUAAGUCACAAUUUUAUUUCAUUUUAAUUAAAUUAAAAUAAGAAACUAUAAUGCAUUUAGUUACUGAAAACUUUUAUGUUUGAAACAACCCAGGGAUGUGAUUUUUCUUUUUUCAACAGUCUAAAGAUUUUUCUUUUUUCAACAAUCUAAAUACAG